rnacentral:tRNA from 1 species
GCCUGGGUGGCUUUGUCGCUUAAGCGUCUGACUUCGGCUCACGUCAUGAUCUCGCGGUUUGUGGGUUCGAGCCCCGCGUCAGGCU